CCUACGGGCGGCAGCAGUGGGGAAUAUUGGACAAUGGGGGCAACCCUGAUCCAGCCAUGCCGCGUGUGUGAAGAAGGCCCUCGGGUUGUAAAGCACUUUCAGUGAGGAAGAACGCCUGGUGGUUAAUACCCAUCAGGAAAGACAUCACUCACAGAAGAAGCUCCGGCUAACUCCGUGCCAGCAGCCGCGGUAAUACGGAGGGUGCGAGCGUUAAUCGGAAUUACUGGGCGUAAAGCGCGCGUAGGUGGCUUGAUAAGCCGGUUGUGAAAGCCCCGGGCUCAACCUGGGAACGGCAUCCGGAACUGUCAAGCUAGAGUGCAGGAGAGGAAGGUAGAAUUCCCGGUGUAGCGGUGAAAUGCGUAGAGAUCGGGAGGAAUACCAGUGGCGAAGGCGGCCUUCUGGACUAACACUGACACUGAGGUGCGAAAGCGUGGGUAGCAAACAGGAUUAGAUACCCCGGUAGUC
rnacentral:rRNA from 1 species